rnacentral:lncRNA from 1 species
GUUGGGCUGUGAUGACCAAUGACCUUUUUUCUGGGCUGUGAUGACAAAUGGGCUAAAGCCCAAUAACUGUUUUUUAUCAACUUAGGCUCUUGCCCAAUAAAAUGACCCGAUCCGCCCCGGCCCAAAUGGUAGAUAAAAACGUGUUUUGGCGUGGCAUAUUUUAAUGCAGCCAAACACGCCUUUCUUCAGUUAAAUGGGUGCCUCUUGACCGUUGGAUUGAACUUGAUCUAAUGGUGGAUCUUGUGGUAUAUAUAUACUUGGCCCCUUUUGCCCUAAUUGAUUUGGACCGUCAUUUUUCUUUCUCUCCAGCUGCGGCUGAGGUUCCAGAGUAUUCCAUUCUCUCUUCUUUGUCUUCUUCGUGAGAGUCCAAUCUCUGAUUGGAUUUGGUUUCUGUGUGAUUCCAUCUUUGUGUUCCUUAAUACUGUGUGUAUUGGAGAGUUUGGU